UAGGGAAUCUUCCGCAAUGGACGCAAGUCUGACGGAGCAACGCCGCGUGAGUGAAGAAGGAUUUCGGUUCGUAAAACUCUGUUGUUAGAGAAGAACAGCGCAUAGAGUAACUGUUAUGCGUGUGACGGUAUCUAACCAGAAAGCCACGGCUAACUACGUGCCAGCAGCCGCGGUAAUACGUAGGUGGCAAGCGUUGUCCGGAUUUAUUGGGCGUAAAGCGAGCGCAGGCGGUCAAUUAAGUCUGAUGUGAAAGCCCCCGGCUCAACCGGGGAGGUGCAUUGGAAACUGGUUGGCUUGAGUGCAGAAGGGGGGAGUGGGCUUCCAUGUGUAGCGGUGAAAGGCGUAGAUAUAUGGAGGAACACCAGUGGCGAAGGCGGCUCUCUGGUCUGUAACUGAAGCAGAGGCUCGAAAGCGUGGGUAGCAAACAGG
rnacentral:rRNA from 1 species